UAAAUUACAGUCAGAAUUGAAUAAUUGAACGUUUUGCGUGGUCUCUCAAGAUUUUUCCAUACAUGGGCCUAAUUUUUGGUUUAAGCAUAGCUAAAUAAUGUCUUCUUCGACGUCUAUUAUUUUAGAUAUUUGCGCGAUGGCUGUUGUGGAUCGUACGUACUGCUGCUGCCGCUGGAAUUGUAAGGAUGGCUGCUACCGGUGGCAUUCGGCCGUCAUAGCAGCUGCUCAUAGACACCGCUGUGCUGCUGCAGGAUGCCCUGGUCCUGGUACGUCGACGCUGCCUUUCCCGCUGCUUGUGUGUUUGGUGGUGCAUACUAUCUCACCACCCGGUAUCGUCACUCGCCUGGUGGUGUUUCCCUUCUGUGACCCGUAAACAGCCCAUCCCAACAUCGUCCUCACCGCAAUCGGUCACCCAGAUUGAGGCUCCAGCGGUGGAAGUAGUAGGAGCACAUUCUCCAAGCCGAUUGGGAUUCUCCAAGCCUGGUACCAUCGGUGUACCAUCCUCCUGAUGUUCCGCUGGCCGAUCCUUUGUCCAUUUUUGUAGGCCAUUGAUUCCGGACUGAAGUUCUUUCCUCUACAUUCGGUUGCAGAUUUGGACAUCGCUACUAAACCGGGGUAAGAAUGCUUCAGACAAAUGGCGAGUAGCAGCAAAUGAAUUAUCUCGAAAACUAAGCGUCGAAGGAGAAAAACGAGAAACGUUCUCUUUCGCUGCACGCAUCCAAAUCCCGAUGUAAAUUGAAGUGUUCGAUGGCUUUUUCCAUCACGAAUCAUGUACCAAAAUUCGGUUCAUUUUCCGGAGGCCGUUUUCAAAUGACAGCCCGUGGUGCGUUCUGCAGAAGGACUUUGACUCCGAUUUUGAGUAACGAGUGUUGGUCGUACCUACGCAAAUGGUCGUUCCAAAUUUGGUCUACUAGCCGCGCCCUAUCCAACGAGGGAUAACAAUGGAUCCGGGAAGGGUGAAAAAACAUUCCCACACCUGUGUGUAAAACGGUGAAAAUUUCACACAAAAUCACGUUUUUUGACUGGAAGAGUCGAGCUGAGUGGUUCCUAGGAGGACACGCUUGUGAGACAAAAGUUGCACAACUUGUACCGACGCGUCUGUCGCUGCCUGAUAUAGCUUUGUAUUAGUUUCCGUUCGAAAGUAAUUUGACGUUUUUCCUUCCUGCAGUAUGGAACAGGGAGGGCGGGAGGAGGUGCAAUACCCCACCGUCGGAUAGUACUUGGCGAGAGCUUUCCAUCGAUGCCCCGCACGCACGCCCUUAUAUAAGCUCGCGUUCGAAAGCUAUGCUCAUGUAAAGGUGGCCUAUCAAAAUUUGUGUUCGUGGAUCGGCGUCGGCAGUGGAAAACAUCCCCACAAUGUACGUUUGAAGUUGAUGCUGUCCGGCGAGAAAGAGUGGAAAAUCGCAAUCAUUGCAAACUCGAAAAUUAACUCGUGUUAUAUAGG